rnacentral:lncRNA from 1 species
AGGUUUUUCUUCAAGGGCUAUAUCCAGCUCUUGCUGACAUAAGACAUCCAGGAUCUCACACUGCCACAUACCAAAAUUAUUGGUACCGUCAAAUUUCUCUACUUCAAAUUUUGCAUUUGUCACAGUAGUCCUUGCUGAUGACGAUGCUGCUGCCAUUUUUCUCCUCAAUCCCAACUACUGUAUACGUGAACAGUACUGUAUACGUGAAUAGUGUCGUAUACGUGAAUAGUACUGUAUACGUGAAUAGUGUCGUAUACGUGAAUAGUACCGUAAACGGUCGUAUUCCCCAAGUACGAACCUGGCUCUGGUACCAAUUGUUGCGCGGAAGCGUGUGAAAGAGUAAAAUUAUUGUACUGAAAAAUCACACUAAGUUCAAUUCCUAGGAAAGAGAGGUGGAUCACGAGGAUCGCUUACAUACCAGAUCUUUCCUAGCCAGAAUAUCCCUCUAUCGUAAUUUAAUAGCACAAUAAAUCACUACAAGACACUUGCAAAAUAUGCAGAACAAAAAAUAAAGAACACUAGAAUUUUAACGAGGUUCAGCAAAUUUUGCCUACGUCCUCGGGCACUACCAAAUAUAUUUCACUCCAAAAAUACAAGUGAAAGUUUACAAAUAGGGAGAGAGAA